CCUACGGGAGGCAGCAGUGGGGAAUAUUGCACAAUGGGGGAAACCCUGAUGCAGCGAUGCCGCGUGGAGGAAGAAGGUUUUCGGAUUGUAAACUCCUGUCUUAAAGGACGAUAAUGACGGUACUUUAGGAGGAAGCUCCGGCUAACUACGUGCCAGCAGCCGCGGUAAUACGUAGGGAGCGAGCGUUGUCCGGAAUUACUGGGUGUAAAGGGAGCGUAGGCGGGAUUGCAAGUCAGAUGUGAAAUGCAGGGGCUCAACCCCUGAGCUGCAUUUGAAACUGUAGUUCUUGAGUGAAGUAGAGGUAAGCGGAAUUCCUGGUGUAGCGGUGAAAUGCGUAGAUAUCAGGAGGAACAUCGGUGGCGAAGGCGGCUUACUGGGCUUUUACUGACGCUGAGGCUCGAAAGCGUGGGGAGCAAACAGGAUUAGAUACCCUGGUAGUCCACGCUGUAAACGAUGAUUACUAGGUGUGGGGGGACUGACCCCUUCCGUGCCGCAGUUAACACAAUAAGUAAUCCACCUGGGGAGUACGGCCGCAAGGUUGAAACUCAAAUGAAUUGACGGGGA
rnacentral:rRNA from 1 species